GUAGCUCAGUGGCAGAGUGAUUGCCUUACAUGCAUGAGGCUCAGGUUCAAUUCCUGAC
rnacentral:tRNA from 1 species